AGUGAACGCUGGCGGUAGGCCUAACACAUGCAAGUCGAACGGCAGCACAGUAAGAGCUUGCUCUUACGGGUGGCGAGUGGCGGACGGGUGAGGAAUACAUCGGAAUCUACUUUUUCGUGGGGGAUAACGUAGGGAAACUUACGCUAAUACCGCAUACGACCUACGGGUGAAAGCAGGGGAUCUUCGGACCUUGCGCGAUUGAAUGAGCCGAUGUCGGAUUAGCUAGUUGGCGGGGUAAAGGCCCACCAAGGCGACGAUCCGUAGCUGGUCUGAGAGGAUGAUCAGCCACACUGGAACUGAGACACGGUCCAGACUCCGACGGGAGGCAGCAGUGGGGAAUAUUGGACAAUGGGCGCAAGCCUGAUCCAGCCAUACCGCGUGGGUGAAGAAGGCCUGCGGGUUGUAAAGCCCUUUUGUUGGGAAAGAAAAGCAGCAGGUUAAUACCCCGCUGUUCUGACGGUACCCAAAGAAUAAGCACCGGCUAACUUCGU
rnacentral:rRNA from 1 species